UGGCGGACGGGUGAGUAACGCGUGGAAAACCUGCCGUAUACUGGGGGAUAACGACUUAGAAAUAGGUGCUAAUACCGCAUAAGCGCACAGCUUCGCAUGAAGCGGUGUGAAAAACUCUGGUGGUAUACGAUGGUUCCGCGUCUGAUUAGCUAGUUGGUGGGGUAAUGGCCUACCAAGGCAACGAUCAGUAGCCGGCCUGAGAGGGUGAACCGGCCACAUUGGGACUGAGACACGGCCCAAACUCCUACGGAAGGCAGCAG
rnacentral:rRNA from 1 species